AAUUUCGAAGAAACGAGCCUGAACCAGAAGACAUACUCGACCACCAGGUCGCGUGCAUCCAGC
rnacentral:sRNA from 1 species